AUACGGAGGGGGCAAGCGUUGUUCGGAAUAACUGGGCGUAAAGCGCACGUAGGCGGAUUGUUUAGUUAGAGGUGAAAUCCCAGGGCUCAACCCUGGAACUGCCUUUAAUACUGGCAGUCUAGAGACCGAGAGAGGUGAGUGGAAUUCCGAGUGUAGAGGUGAAAUUCGUAGAUAUUCGGAGGAACACCAGUGGCGAAGGCGGCUCACUGGCUCGGUACUGACGCUGAGGUGCGAAAGCGUGGGGAGCAAACAGGAUUAGAAACCCCAGUAGUCC
rnacentral:rRNA from 1 species